GAGAUAGUAUGGACGUCAGAAAAUACCGUUGAAAAAUGAGUGCACUGAUCACUGAGCAGUGCUUAGUUGAGAAAGAAAAAGAAAUGAGAUGAUGAAAUACUUACAUAAAACAGGAAGUACUGAGAAUGUAUUGCAAGAUAACUCAUUUACCAUCAGUAGAUGAAAGUGUGAAAGGAAGGUUGGAGCUACAGCAGUGUGGAGAGAGUGAGAUGCGUGAAGAUUUGGAGAGGAGCUCAUUAAGUACUUCCCAGAAAGCUUGUGGCCAAGCUGUGCUGAGAGGGGGAACCUGGAUUGAAUGAGAAUUGUAUUCAGCACUGUACGUUCAGUAGCUCGCUGCUCUUCACUGAAUGAAUGUGUUUUGGGCUUAGCUGUUGUUUUUUGACAGUGCAGAAAACAUGGUCUGGGCAAAGUAAUAUACAAACUAAUGUGAUCCCCCCCCCCGGUACUAAUGUGGGGAUUGAACUAAUGUGAUUUUUAUGUUGUGCCAAAGCUG
rnacentral:lncRNA from 1 species